rnacentral:lncRNA from 1 species
CUAGAUUCAUCAGUGGUGUUAGAUGGGUGAGGAGGGACAGGUUUUCCUUUUGUUACUUGUUUGUUUUUUCCUGUCACGAACUGGAUGAAGAAUCAGCCUACUGAGGGUCUCCACGGAGGUUAAGCAGCAGCCAGUAUUGAGCUAGUAUCCGCUAUCCUUUGGAUCUCCGAUGUCCUUAGAGGCCCAUUGGUAUUUGUCACAGUGAUGAAAAGCUAACACAGAUCCCUCCCCCACUCUUUAAAGAGAAGCACACAAAAUGUUACCUUUGAUUUUGAACUUGGAGAAAAUGUCAGAUAAAUAGGUACAUUGAAAAUAGUCAAGCAGAAGAGUAGUCACUAUUUUACUUGAAUGUGAAGAAUCAUUCAGCUAAUGAACUGCGGUUUACCAAAAGCAAUUUUUCUAAGUAUAAUUUGGGCUUCAUAAAGAGGUUUAGUGAUCGCUACAAAACCAGGAAUCCAAAUUCUACAGAAGCUGGUCACCCCAAGAAACUCCCUCAGCUGUCUCUUAUCUUGUUCAUCUUCCCUCUUAGCCUGUUCCUUCUCUCUUGCUGACUCUCUAUUCACACAUACCUUUCCUAGCCAAUUGUAGCAACUGUGUUAUAUUCAUACCCUCCCAAGUUUCUUGCUUUUGAAUUUGCCUUCUAAUAUCCUGAGCUGACUGGGUCACAAAGUCAUAUUGAUUAACUGGUGGUUAUCAGGAACAGCAGGAUCAAAUGGUGUAUACAUUCUGUAAACUUUACAGAACUACUCAUAAAAUCUCUCAGGGCUCCCAUUGGGCUCCUACGAUGUUUCUAGCACUUUAAUCAUAUUUGUAGGCCUUUUACUCAUGGCUCGUAUCCCUGCCAGGAGGGCCAUCUGAUAAUUGCUUAAGCUGUCCUGGCCUCCUGGGGUGUUGGGGUUCCAAUCGGGCUGUUCAUUCACUGGAAAUUGCUGUUCAUGUCAAGCAUCUGGAUUUUGUGUGCCUGCUGGCAUUCUAGGAGCAUUGAUCUUUUUAAUUUCUCCUAAAACUGUAUUUCUUUAGAAGUUAACAAAGUUCUUUACAGUCCUCCCAAUUAGGACAAUGGGUAGCAAAGAUGGAAUCAAAUAAUUGAAGCAUUUUGGAGGGGUCUUGGCAGAGAAUAAAUGACCUUCUUUUUCUCUAGA